rnacentral:snoRNA from 1 species
AAACCAUGAUGCGGGCAUUGAGCCCAAUAGUCCUUGAACCUCUCCCAUGCUUCACUGAAGCUCUCUAGACCUUUUUUGUUCAAAACCAGAGAUUUCGUUCCUGAUCUU